rnacentral:rRNA from 2 species
CCGGGAAACCGGAGCUAAUACCGGAUAAUCCCUUUCUCCACCUGGAGAGAGGGUGAAAGAUGGCUUCGGCUAUCACUAGGGGAUGGGCCCGCGGCGCAUUAUCUAGUUGGUAAGGUAACGGCUUACCAAGGCAACGAUGCGUACCCGACCUGAGAGGGUGAUCGGCCACACUGGGACUGAGACACGGCCCAGACUCCUACGGGAGGCAGCAGUAGGGAAUCUUCCGCAGUGGACGAAAGUCUGACGGAGCAACGCCGCGUGAGUGAGGAAGGCCUUCGGGUCGUAAAGCUCUGUUGUGAGGGAAGAAGCGGUACCGUUCGAAUAGGGCGGUACCUUGACGGUACCUCACCAGAAAGCCACGGCUAACUACGUGCCAGCAGCCGCGGUAAUACGUAGGUGGCAAGCGUUGUCCGGAAUUAUUGGGCGUAAAGCGCGCGCAGGCGGCUUCUUAAGUCUGAUGUGAAAUCUCGGGGCUCAACCCCGAGCGGCCAUUGGAAACUGGGGAGCUUGAGUGCAGAAGAGGAGAGUGGAAUUCCACGUGUAGCGGUGAAAUGCGUAGAGAUGUGGAGGAACACCAGUGGCGAAGGCGACUCUCUGGUCUGUAACUGACGCUGAGGCGCGAAAGCGUGGGGAGCAAACAGGAUUAGAUACCCUGGUAGUCCACGCCGUAAACGAUGAGUGCUAGGUGUUAGGGGUUUCGAUGCCCGUAGUGCCGAAGUUAACACAUUAAGCACUCCGCCUGGGGAGUACGGCCGCAAGGCUGAAACUCAAAGGAA